AUUGAACGCUGGCGGCAUGCCUUACACAUGCAGGUCGAACGGCAGCACGGGUGCUUGCACCUGGUGGCGAGUGGCGAACGGGUGAGUAAUACAUCGGAACAUGUCCUGUAGUGGGGGAUAGCCCGGCGAAAGCCGGAUUAAUACCGCAUACGAUCUACGGAUGAAAGCGGGGGACCUUCGGGCCUCGCGCUAUAGGGUUGGCCGAUAGCUGAUUAGCUAGUUGGUGGGGUAAAGGCCUACCAAGGCGACGAUCAGUAGCUGGUCUGAGAGGACGACCAGCCACACUGGGACUGAGACACGGCCCAGACUCCUACGGGAGGCAGCAGUGGGGAAUUUUGGACAAUGGGCGAAAGCCUGAUCCAGCAAUGCCGCGUGUGUGAAGAAGGCCUUCGGGUUGUAAAGCACUUUUGUCCGGAAAGAAAUCCUUGGCUCUAAUACAGUCGGGGGAUGACGGUACCGGAAGAAUAAGCACCGGCUAACUACGUG
rnacentral:rRNA from 1 species